rnacentral:rRNA from 1 species
GACGAACGCUGGCGGCGUGCUUUACACAUGCAAGUCGAACGAAGUGGCGAACGGGUGAGUAACGCGUAAUCACCCUGCCCUUCAGAGGGGGACACCAGUUGGAAACGACUGCUAAUCCCGCAUACUGAAGUAGGGGAUUGCGUCUGAUUAGCUAGUUGGGGGGGUAACGGCCCACCAAGGCGAUGAUCAGUAGGCGGUCUGAGAGGAUGAACGGCCACAUGGGGACUGAGACACGGCCCAGACUCCUAAGGGAAGCAGCAGGUGGGAAUCUUCCGCAAUGGACGAAAGUCUGAAGGAGCAACGCCGCGGGAGUGAUGACGGCCUUCGGGUUGGAAAGCUCUGUUAAGCGGGACGCGGUACCGGAAUAGAAAGCCACGGCUAACUACGUGCCAGCAGCCGCGGUAAUAC